GGAGCCUCGACUCUGGAGUCUCAGAUGGCGGCGCUGGGGACCCACAUUCCUAAGUCUUCUAGCAAGGGCCGCGAGGCGUGAGAAUCCGGAACUGGCAAUGCACUGUCUCCUAUUGGUCAAUGCAAAAUGUUUAAUUUGCAUAUAUAACACAAGGCGGGGCCCUCCGGUGAGGUCACGUGGCUAUGAACCACUGAAGAAGACCCCGGCGCAGGGGUGCGGCCGGAGCUCCAGUGGCGCAAUCGGUUAGCGCGCGGUACUUAUAUGACAGUGCGAGCGGAGCAAUGCCGAGGUUGUGAGUUCGAUCCUCACCUGGAGCACUUUUUUUCCCCAUCAGUUUUUAUAAACUUACACAUCUAAUAAACCAACCAAAACAUCUACAUCACUUAGAUGAAUGAACGUUUCUAUCUUUUGAAUUAUUGGGCUCAAAAGACUCCUAGGGCUUUGGCGACGGUCCUUUGGGUGUUCUGUAUUGUAGGGAGGUGCCGUUUCCGUCCCAGCCACCAGGUGGGGGUAUCGUCUCUUAUUAGAUGCUCUGGGCAUGGAAUUGUGUGCAAACAGUUUGACUUCUGUAGAGAUGUGGGUCCUCGGCAAACUGUAUAUGACUCUGCCUCCUCUGUAUUUCUCUGUCUUUUUAAUGCCUCCUUUACAGAUGAACAUAGCUAUCUGUCUUGGAGUUUUCGACCUCUGUUGAAAAGGAAAACUAUGUUUUUGAGUCGACUUGUUUUUUCAAUAAAUAUUGAACAUUCACUAUGCCUGGCUUCCUUUAGCUGUGUGUAAUACAGCAGUGAACAAGUAGUCCCUGCCCCUGAGGACGCGACAUUCUAGUGGGGAGGCAGAUUGCUGUCAACAUAAGAAUUAAGUACAUUUUAAUGUUAGGUGGUGAUGAUAAAUGUCAUGGAAAAAGUCGAGCAAGGUAGGGAGGAUGGGGUAGUUGGAGGUGGGGUGUGGAUUGCAACAGCAGUGGUCAGGGAGGAUCUCACAGAGAAGGCAACUUUUGAGCAGAGACAUGAAGGAGGGGAGUGAGCCAUGGGGACACCAGGGGAGUGUUCAGGCAGAGGGAACAGCUAGUGCAAAGCUCCUAUGGAUGAAGCAGACCAGACUUGGUAGAGCAGCUAGGAGGCCAGUGUGGCUGGAGCAGAGUGGCCAAGGGGGAGGGUAAGCGAUGGGUGCCAGAUUGUGUGGGCUGUGGGGAGGACUUCGGACUUUGACUUUUAUGUGACCUGACUCAGGUCUCAUAACAGGCUUCCUUUGGUUGUCUCGUGGGGGAGUGGAGAAAGGAGAGACUGAAGGCAGGGGCUAGAGCAGAGACUGGGGCUGGGGCUGCUAUGAAGAUGCAAAUGGCAGACGAUGUUGGCUAGGACCAGGGUGGGGGUCAUGGUGGGGGCAGGUGGAUAGUGGAUCUAUUUUGCAGGUGGAUCAGACAGGAUUGCUGUUGGACUGGGGUGUGGAUUUGAGAACAAGGUGUCAAGGGAUACUCCUGGGUGUCUGGCUUAAGCCCUGGUAGAUGGUGAGAAGUGCCGUUUUCUUAUAUGAGGGAUUUUUUGGGGAAGGGGCAGAGAAUCAGAUCUGGCUAAAGGAAGGACCAGAGAUGUUGUUCUUUCAGUCUCCAAGACUGUUUCUGCAAAUGUCUCUUCACUGCUUGCUCUUGGUCUCUGCCCCUCUGCUGCCUUUGCAUCUCAGGGGUUCUGACUCCCUCUCGCCUGAUCCUCUUCUACUUAUUAGGGCCUGAGCCCUUUCCCACAAGGGAAGCAGUUUCCUGGAAGAGGAGACCAAAUGUCAGUGAGCAAGGGGAGUGGGCCAAGGAGGCCUGAGAGCAGGAGGGAGGCUUGAGGAGGGUAGAGAGAAGGGAGAGGAGGGAAAGGGGCUUCAGAGGGAGAGAGAAGAGGAGAAGGAGUAAGGCUAGGGGGAGGAGGGGAAGAGGACAAUGGGGAGUGGGAGGGCAAGGAAAGGGUGGAGAGGGAAAGAAGGACGGAAAAAGGGAGAGAAGGGAGACGGGAAGGAGGAGAAAGGGGGUAAGAGACGGCAGGAUGGGGAGGCUGGAAGUGGGAGAGGAGUAAUGAGGGAGGGGACAAAUUGGAGGGGGAGAGAAGAACAGAAGGCAAAGGGUGUAGGGCGGGGCAGAAGGGUGCAGAGGAGGAAGUGAAAAAGAGGAGGAAGGGUGAGGGUAGGGAAAGGAGAGAAGAGGGAAGUGAGAGGGAGGAGGGAGGAGUGCGGGGCAAGGAGAAAAAAGAGGGGUCGCAGGGGGCGAAGGCUGGGCGGCAGGGCCGAGCCGCAGGCGCUGACGCAGGGCGGCUUCCGGGCGCGGGGCCCCGGGGUUGGUCCCGACGACGCUGGCCUUGUAUGGUCUGAAGACGCGGCUCCCCCGGGGCCCCUCCUAGACGCGCGGCCCCUACCCACACGCCCUGGCCUCGCGGGGCCGACCCUGGUCGGUGUGCGAAGCCUCGGACUUCCAAGGUUCGGAAAUGCCAAGACCCGGUAAUUCCCGGGCUCCAGGGUCCCGGGUGGCCAGAAAUCUGCAACUCCGAGCCACCAGGGGUCUAGAGUCUAAAGCGCUAGGGGAUGCAACCUGUGACUCCCAAAUGUUGAGAUCCUAGCCUCUUGAGACCCUAAACCCGCUUCCCCAACAUCCAGAAGGUGUCGAAGCCCCCCCGGAACCUCUAGUCCCGAAACGGGUUCCGCUACCCCAGGCUGCCCCGCCCCGCGCCCGCCCCCGCUCGCUCUGGGCGCGCGCCCCAGCACAUUCCGUCCUCCCCACCCGGCCCCUCCCGCCUCCCGCGGCCCCGUGGGGACGGAAACAUCCCGUCCCCGACCGCACCCGCCCGAAGCUGGGUCAAGGAGCCCAGCAGGACGGGAGCGCGGCGCCCCCGACGCCCGGGAACUGGCUCCCCCGGUUCCCAUCUGGUGACCUCACCUGGUCCCACCCUUUCAGGUGAACGGCCAGGCCCGGUGACGUCACUUCCUGCCAGGUAAGCGCCGCGGGGCUCGGAGAGGAAGAGUUAACUGCACCCAGCUUCCAAAAAGUCACCCCCUCCCUCUCCAUUCCUGUCUCUAGACCGCGAAGAAGCCAGGAUCCCAGCUUACACUCAGAUUGUUUAUUUAAAAAUGCCCAAAACACAAAAAUAGACUUUUAAGGUAAUAAUAUAUAUUACUAAAUAUAUUAUAGUCUACUUAUAAUAAUUAUAUCGUCGUUUUCAAUAUUACAAAAAAAGGAAGAAAAAUACAAGGGAAGCAGACGACCCAAUAUAUAUAAAUACUAUAAAAUCAUAUUAGAA
rnacentral:tRNA from 1 species